rnacentral:rRNA from 1 species
UACGAAGGGGGCUAGCGUUGCUCGGAAUUACUGGGCGUAAAGGGCUCGUAGGCGGCCAACUAAGUCGGAUGUGAAAUCCCCAAGCUUAACUUGGGAACUGCAUCCGAUACUGGAUGGCUUGAAUCCGGGAGAGGGAUGCAGAAUUCCAGGUGUAGCGGUGAAAUGCGUAGAUAUCUGGAGGAAUACCGGUGGCGAAGGCGGCAUCCUGGACCGGCAUUGACGCUGAGGAGCGAAAGCUAGGGGAGCAAACGGG